GAAAUUAUAUUCUAAAUGUGACUUUUUAACUCUUGUAGGACGUAUUUCUAAUCAAGGUCUUGAAAAAUAUACCCAUGCCAUAUUCAUGCGUUUCCAGACAAAAGAGGACGUUGCCAAGUUCUAUGAGAAUCCUUUCUAUAUGGGAGUUCUUAAGGACCAUGUGAUGCCUUACUGCCAUGCAGUAGUCGAUGUUGACUAUGAAUCUGAAGUAGAAGAUGACAUCCUGCCUAUAUUUCGGAAAGGAGAGGAGUUCAACUAUGGGGUUGAGUCCGUGGUUCUUAUAUCAUUUAAUAAGAGUUCAAUAGGUCGACCUGCGCAAGCUGCUCUGGAUGCUCUCGCUAAUCUGACUCUGGAGUUCCCUUCCUUAAUUGUUCAAGCUACUAAAGGUCAAAAUAUUAAUAAUAGCAGUAAGGAAUAUACUCAUGGGGCAGUAAUACGAUUUCGAUCAUUUGAGGCCUACGAGAUAUUUGUGAACAGUUCAGAAUACAAAGAUAUGUGGAACUCUAUAUUCCAACCCAUCAUCCAAAAAGCUUUCUAUGUCAAUUUUUCUGUAGAUCCUGUUGGCAAGGAGCUUAUGUAACAAGGACAAGAAGGCAACAUCUGAGUCGCCUUUCACCACAUGGUGGCUAUGCGUUUAUUCAAAUCCUUUUAACUUCUUCACUUAUUUCGGGAAAUUGUACUCGGUGGAUUACUUAAUGGAGUCUAAGUUGGCUACAUCUAUGCUGACCUAAUGGAGUUAGGAAUUGCAUCUCCAAGAGUUCUAUUAUCUCGAUUUUUUUCUUCGAGUUAAGCAUGAUACUAAGGAUACUUGUGCAAAUCUUGAACUUCCAUUACUCUUGACUGGACCAGAUUGAGAGUUUGAGACACCGCAGUCAGUCCUUGAGAUCCACUAGGUUGGCUAGUUGGGACAUGGCCUGAGGUUUUGUUUGGUGAACAGUAGUAAUUGCAAGAUAGUAACUUAUUUUCUUGUCGAACUGUAUGACUUGUUUUGUAGAAUCAAACACAAGCCCAGUCUUUUAGUCUAUCCAUAUCCACAGUAAGUGAAACUCCAUUUAAACGAUGAAUUGUAUCUAGUAGGCAUCGUAUAUCGACAUCGUGGCUAUUAAAGAAAGAAAAUAAAUCAUAAUAUUGUGAAUUAUGUCGAAUUUCAUCAAUAUUUAGAAUGAAUCUCUGUUAAAGGUAAAACAGUUUACUAUAUCUUGUAUAAUUCAUCUUGUUUGCAUCUUUGACUUGUGUAUACAACCAAACCAGAAAGAAAUUUUAUCAACAUCUAAUAUACAUUUCUACAUGGAAAAGAAAACUGGGGAAGCUGAUCUAAAGUGCUCACUAUUGAUUGCAAAACUUCUUGUGAGAUCCAAGACCUGUUAUAACAAUGAAGAAGCUACUCAAUUGUGUAGAGGGUUUGGCCCUCCCGGCGUUUGACGAGCGGAAACUCGGAAACUCAUAUCGUCCUCUGGAGUUCUUGAUUUCUUGGGAGCUUGUACUGAUGAAUACCAUGAAAAUUGGGACUGGAACUGUGUUGUAGGUUUCUGUGGGGUGGAUAGAAUGGCAGCUCUGUGGAUGUUGCGGCCAGUCGAGCAGUGGCUGAUGGCGAGUAGCACCACCGUGACUAGCAGAAAUGGGAUGGACGAAUAAUGAAUUUUCAUGAGUAUAAUGUAUCAGAAGAAGUAAUGGAGAAGCAGAAGAGGAGGAUGGUUGAAAUGAGUUAUUUCUUGAAUAUAGACAGGUAUGAGGAGUAUUAAUAUGGCACCAAACUACUUGUUUGUCAAAUGAAAUGACAAAAUUACCCACAAAAUUCUACCUAAAAUAGUCAAAACUCUAAAAUUAGUGCAUCUUUUUAUUGCCUGUCUGAAAUCUGUUAGCCUCUUCUGUGGAUUCAUUUUGACUAUUGUGCAUUUUCCUGCCUAAAUAUUCACUAUGACUUUCAUGAAUCUUGAUUAUGUUUAUAUGCUGAAAAAUAUAAAUUUCAUAAUCCCGUCUUUGUUUAUUACUCACCCGAUGUGUUUCUUAACAAAUAGUGAAACCCGGGUUACUUCUUAAAAUGUCAAUCGUAAUAUACCUUCUUUGAGAGCAUCUCCUAAUGAUGCAAUAAAUUGAAUAAGGAUUUGACAAGAUUUGUAUAAUCUUAAUGGUUCAAGAAGUGUGUAAUAAGUACAAAAUUGAAUACCAUUUUGCUGAUGUUAGAGGGUUUGACUUGUAGCAAUAGGAAUCAUUCAUUUUUCUCACAUUUGAAUCUGAUAAUUAAUCUUUGU